rnacentral:rRNA from 1 species
CACGUAGUUAGCCGUGGCUUUCUGAUUAGGUACCGUCAAGAUGUGCACAGUUACUUACACAUAUGUUCUUCCCUAAUAACAGAGUUUUACGAGCCGAAACCCUUCAUCACUCACGCGGCGUUGCUCCGUCAGGCUUUCGCCCAUUGCGGAAGAUUCCCUACUGCUGCCUCCCGUAGGAGUCUGGACCGUGUCUCAGUUCCAGUGUGGCCGAUCACCCUCUCAGGUCGGCUACGUAUCGUCGCCUUGGUAAGCCAUUACCUUACCAACUAGCUAAUACGGCGCGGGUCCAUCUAUAAGUGAUAGCAAAACCAUCUUUCACUAUAGAACCAUGCGGUUCUAUAUGUUAUCCGGCAUUAGCCCCGGUUUCCCGGAGUUAUUCCAGUCUUAUAGGUAGGUUACCCACGUGUUACUCACCCGUCCGCCGCUAACGUCAAAGGAGCAAGCUCCUUAUCUGUUCGCUCGACUUGCAUGUAUUAGGCACGCCGCCAGCGUUCAUCCUGAGCCAGGAU